GAGCGGCCCCGCUCCAACGCCGCGCCGCUCCCCGACGGGUGGCGCUGGCGAGCCGCGAGCGAGGCGCGGCGGCCCGGAGCGGCCCGGCCCGGCCCGGCUCCCCCCGGCUCCGGAGCUCGUGGCCGCGGGACAUCCGCGCUCGCCACCGCCGGAGGCCGCGCGGAGCGGCCCGGCCCGGCCCGCUGCCCUGCGCCGUCGGGGGACGCGCGGCGCCGCCGGCCCGGCCCGCUCUGCUCCGCCCGUCGGGGCCGCUGCGCGCCGCCCCGCAGCUCCCCUGGGAGGGGGGCCCCGGGCCGGGGGCAGGUUUCGCUCGAGCGGUGUAAAACCGAUGCCGUGCAGCUAAGGCGGGCGGUAAUUUAAGAAAAUUCAUUAAGGAACACCUUUGGGUAGCAUUGCUGCUAAUUAUUUAAUUGCAGGAAUCCCUAUGGGGAAAAUUAUGCUAAUUAUACAGUAAUAAACCCACUUGUUCGAAAGCACGCAAUUCAGCAGCUUUCAGUCCUUCCGCCGGGACCUUCCCGGCGGUGUUGGACAGGGGCAGCGGUGCUGGGCCCGGGGCUCCGCGGCGGCGCGGGAGGCGGGCAGGCCGCCGAGGGGCACCUCGGGUCAACGGGGCGCCGCGUCGGGGAAGCUUGGUGCGCGCUGCCCUUGUCCUCGUUGCCGAGAAGCCGCUUGGACAGCCCGGGUUUGCCCGGUGCUCUUCCCACCGCCGCCGGGGAGAGCGCGGCCGACGGCGCGCCCGCCCUGGGGCUGCUCCCCUCACCUCCGUGCGGGUCCGUGCCGUCUGCGCCGCAGGCCCAGGCCCCGCAUCCGCGCCGUGCUCGUGCCGGUGCCGGUGCCGGUGCCGGUGCCGGGCCUGCCGCCCCCGCGGCGCCGGGAGCGAUCGCGCCGGGUGCCCAGACCUCGGUUCUGCGCGGGGGGGGGGGGGGGGCGAGGUGCAGCCGCUUCUGCGAGCGCUUCCCCUUGGGGCGAGGCGGGGGCCGGCGGCUGCGAUGCCGUCGGGUGCUUUGAAACCUGCAGCGUCUGGUCAGCGCCAGCGCGUCCGGCUGCGCUCGGGGGGCGGCUGAGGGGGGGCAGCACCGGGCGCUUCCCGCCGGCCCAGACGCGCCUGCGGAGGGGCAACGGCGAGUGAAAGAACAGGCGAACUGCAAUGCGCGUCAGGGUGUUUCGGGAAGGGAAGACUCGUGUUCGAAGAGGGGCAAGAACAAAGCAGCUUCGAAACCGUGGCGGCAGAAAUGUGGCUGAGAAGAAAGUCUCUUUAUAUUUUGGAGUGCGGGGGGAUUUUUUGGCUGCAGCUUUUUUGUACUGAGAAAAUGAAAAUCCUUCAAGUCCAUGCAUGAAUAAGCAAGUACAGCUGGGCAGCCUAAUACAUAAUUUAUACUGAUCAGUCACUGCAGAUUCAACUGAAUAAAGCCAAAAUGAACACUAAUUGUUUUGACAAACUAAAAUAGUGUAUAUGAUGGUUUAUUGUGAAGCUUGCUGGUUACUGUCCUGAUCUCAGCAGCUAUUGUCAAAACUGAUUUCUGCAUGAGAUGCAGAAAAAGACUAAACAAAUUAGGACAAUAUUAAGAUUAAUAUCUUGUUGAAGAUAAAGCAUUUUAAUUGCUUAACAUACAAGCAGAAAAUAGACAGAACUGUCUUCGGGACGGAGGGGAGAAUCGACGUGGUGAAGCACGGAACGUACCUGCAUCUAGCGGGCGAGCUGCGAUCGCUGGGGCAGUGCGCGGUACCCUGUUUGCUGAGGGGUGAACCUGGGAGAGAAUAGAUUUUGUUUGUUUGUUUGUUUGUUUUAGAUCGCUUUUGAAAUAUGAGCAGGAACAACUUAGGAUUGCCUUUAGACACUUGUAUUCCAAAAGGGAACAUCCAAAAAGAUGUCACUGGGCUCCUGGAGCGUUAUCUCUUCAGGCUAGUUAAUCCAAAAAAACACACAGCUUAGCUCAGGGUUUGAUGUAGGCGAAGGGGUUUCAUUCUGGCGGAGGAUUACUCUGGCUCUGCUGUGGUACGGUAAAAAUCACAACGUAUUGCUGGAGUGAGAGAGUAACGAUAACCUGACGCUCUAACACGCUAGUGCGUGUGGCCCCGAGGUGGUCACCCGGGUGGGCCUUGGCUCUCCUCCUCCAAAGCCUCUCCUUGAGGUGGAUGGGCAAAUGAGAGCCUUUCAAAACUACAUCAGGAAAUUAAGUAAGAGGCAGCUCAGGGUAAUAAUAAGAUUCACAUGGAUGCCUAAGCGAGACUUUGGCGUGGGCCACUUUGCGUGCCAGUUAAUUGCUGCUGCGUGUCCUUGGUGGGCGCCUGGCAGGUGCCACCUCGCCGUCCCUCCUGGCUCGGAGCGCCUGCGCGCCAGCUGGCUCCCACGAUGGCUUUCGUACCGGCCUGGGGACUUGCUGAAGCUCACGUCGUCACCGCGUGUGCCGCCACCGAGGUGUCGGAUGUGGCUGCGAAAUCAGGGGUGGGCUUGAAUGUUGCUUGAAUGAGCUGGAGAAGGUUUGGGCCCAGGGCUUUAAUUUGGACUGUUAUAUGCAUUGGGGGGGGGGGGGGGCAGCAGUUGGGAGCUGGUUCUUCCCUUGAUCUGGGGUUACUGCUAAAACCAGAUUCUAAAACCCUAUUUGGCCAGUAAGGAAAUGCUCCUCUGCACCGGGGCAAUACAGUGCCUGUGCACCAGCUUGCUGAGCAUUACUGGCAGCUUAUUCUAGGAAGCGUGAAUUUUUCCAGUGAAGGCAGAGCUACACAAAACCAUGUGCAAGGACGUCCCCUCUGCUCGGCCCUUCUGCGAGGAGAAGGAGCUGGGGCAAAACAUGUGCACGCUCCCGAGACGCGGGCGGUCGCUGUCCUGACGCACAACGUGAGCAGGGCAGGGGCUCGCAGCCGCUGGCGACCACAGGGUCGGGUCUCCGUGCUUCGUGGCCUGCUGUAUCAGCUGGCGUGGAGGAGUCAGUUGAGCGAGCUCCCAUGGCUGUCAAGCCGAAGAGUUUUAAUUUAAUUUUAACUUAGGAAUAUUUUAUGACUUUUGUUCUGUGGCUGUGAGUGACAAUUUUAUUCCAUUAUAUAUUCCGCUUGCUGUAAUUUCCCAGAUGUUUUAUAAGUAGGGUACUGGUUGCACGUCAUGGUGCCUUAUUUUCCAAGAGUUCUCAUGGACUUAAGUGUGCCUCAAUCACGGGUAUCACAACUGCUUCCUUGCUAUCAUGAGUUACUCCCCAAAACCCAGCUGCGUAUGUUGUACACGGAAAACACGGAGGGCUUGUUCCAAAACUGGAAAACAUUCGCCCAAGGCGGCCCAUACCGUCCCCACCAAAACUGGUGGCCUUGAGGAGGCUCUGAAUUAAAGCCUGACUCAGCCUGACGGCCCCUCCGAACCCUCGGUGUGGAUCAGCUCCAGCCGCGCCUGCGGGAAGAGCGCAGGGGCUUUGCGGAAGACCCUUCCGCCGCUGGCCUUCGCGCAGGGCGGCUGGGGCAGGCGGCGCGUGCCCGUUCUGCUCGGGCCUUCCCUGCCGCGGUGCUUAGCGCCGGGCGCGAGCCUCCGCCGGGAUGGGCCAGCCGCAGCCGCUGCCCUGGGGCGGCUGGGACCGCCGGUGAUUUCACACGCAAGCAGCGCUAAUCUACAAUAAAUCUUGCGAAAUCAAUAAAAAUAUGGAAAGUAUAUCAUUUUUAAAGAAAAAACACGUGAGACAUGGCCAUUAAGGGCACAGCCAUUCUAAUACCUGUGUCUGGUUGAAACUGCAAUUAAAAACAUUCCAAUAAUAAAUCUACUUUCAGUCUCGCUUAAUGCUUUUAACUUUCUUGAAAGUUCAAGCUGGUAUCCCAAAAAUGUGCCAGGACUUUCACAAUGUAUUUUAUAGAGUCAUAAAUAAAUAUGGCAAUUAAUCUAAGCUAUAUUUCUUUCAUAUUUGAUGACAAUUUAUUAUGACACUCACUCAUUCAGUGCACAAAAACUCUAAUGCACUUAAAAUCGGAUUUCAAACCAAACGUUUUAUGGGAAAAUAUAGUAUUGAUCAUCCAUUUAAAGAUACCAUGUGAUGAUUCAUAACCCGCUAUAAAAAGGAUCUUAUGAGGACAUUCAGAAUGAGUUUUGUGGACCAUUCUUGCCACAAAAUCAAAGUUAUGAGAGUUAUAGUUCUCAGUGAUGUGUUACAUUUCUGUUUAGAAUUUUCAUAUAUAAUGUUAUUUAUGAUGGAUACCAGCUUUAAAAUAAAAGAUUUUGCAUAUCUAAGAAAUAUAUAGAGACUAAUUUUCUGUUUAGGGAUAGCUCGGUAGGAGGUGAUGUUAAAUAUAUAGAAGCAAUUUUUCUCUUUCUCCGUUUACACAAAUUCAUGCAUGAAAUUUGUUCCUUUCAAGGAUAAUUUCCACUAUUUUGGGUAUGUUAAUCAGGCGGUCUGUGCAAUAUGGAUCUGCCGCUGUGUCCCCUAAUAAAAUAUGUUUUCUGUGUAUGA